UUUUUUUUUUUGUCUUUUUCAAGAAAGUUACAUGUUUCUCUAUACUCUCUUUAUUGAAAAAAUAUUUCUUGCCUAUUAAUACACACAUCUUCCUGAAAUAUAAUACUUUUUUUCAUAAUCUGUAUAUCAAUUUUUUGAUUUUGAAUUUUUUUGCGCGCAUCAUCUUUGGUCUUUCUUAAUCGAUUUUUUCGUUGGAACUGAAAUUUUGUUUCAAUUUAGAAGUUAUUUUGAUUCAAUUGCAUUACAUGUUUGAUUUCACUUUGAUAUGAAACAUGUAUUCUAAAUUCAAUUUCGAUUAUGCUAUAUAAAUAGUAUGGCAUACUUGUUGUGGACAUCAAGUAUUAUUUUCGUAUUAAAAUUGAUAUCAAGUGACUAAAAUUGCUGAAUUAUUGAAUUUAUACUAUAAUAUAUGGAUUGUAUUGCACUGUAUUUGUUGAUAUUAAGUUGAGACCAUUUUGUGUAUAUAUAUAUAUAUAUAUAUAUAUAUAUAUAUUUCAGAUGUUAAAUGAUUUUUUUUCCUUAUUAAUCUACAUAUUAACGAUUGAAAUGGGUAUAAAUUAUGAUCUUCAAUUUAGUUCAUAUACUAAAUGAAAAUGGAUCACACAAUUAUUUCUUUAAGUUCAUAUUCGUAUUAGAAGUGCUUUAUGAUUGUGAAAAUUGGUAUAAAAAUUUGUGUUGAUUAAGUUUCGUAUAUAACUAACUUUUUUAUGUGUUAAACAGUAUUCAAAUAAAUAUUCAAUUGAUUUUUAGUUUUUUAUACUAAAUUUAAAGGUAUAUAAACGGUAUAAUUUGAAUAUGUAAAUUAUAUUUUUUAAUUAUAAAGUUACGAGCGAUACAGAUAGAUUUAAUGUAAUAUUAUAAUGCAAUCAAAUAAAAUUAAACAAUUACUAUAUCAAUAUUUUAAGAUAACAAUCAUUUUUCUUUAUAUUAUUAUUUAAAACUAAUCCCAUAAAUAUUAUCUAAAAAUAUAAGACAAAAAUUAAAGUAAAAAACCGACACCAAGGCAUGAAUUAUGAAUGAAAUUUUGAUUUAAAAAGAAAAAAGAAAUAUAAAUGGGGUAUAUAAGUGAAAAUAAUAGAUUGAUUGAUAGUGAAGCACUAAAAUAGGACGAGUCAACAAAAUUGGAGAAAUAUGAGGGAUUGAUAUUUAUUAGAAACGGAUUUUAUGGAAUAAGAUUAUCCAAUUCUUUAUCUUAAUUGCCAACUGCUUUUUGGAUAUGAAAUCUUCUUUUUCUUAUUUGUAAUAUGUAUUUUAAAUUUUUUAUUAAAAUAAAAAUGUUUUUUUCUUUUUUUUUUUUAUAACUUUUUUUUGCUAUAUGUUGUAAUCUAAAAAGUUUUGUUUUAUCUUGCAUUAAUUUAUCUAGAAAUGUUUAUUUAGAUUUUUUUUCUUGUUGAUUUCAUUCAUUAAUGAAUGAUAAUAACACAUUCGUUACUAACAUGGAUUGUCGUGCAGUGGAUGGGGCUGCUCCACCCUUAACCAGAGGUCGAGAGUUCGACCUUAGGUAUGGAGAAAACUCUGUUGAGAGCGCUGCCACCUUGAUAGGCUAUGAAACGCAUGAUCCGGAUUAGUCGGGGCUCCAAUACGUGCACCGAACACCAUGGGAAACCAAAAAAAAUAACACAUUCGUUAAUUCAAUUUAUUUUGUUCAAAUGUUAGCCCAGUUAUUUAGGAAAAGCAAAAAUAGACCGAAAAAGUAAAAAUUUAUUUUAUUAUUAUUUUAUCCCUUUCUGUAGACUUUGCAAUGUUUCUUUUAUUUAUUUUUAUAUUUUCGUCAUUGUCUCCUCCUUUCUUUUACAUUGGAUUUGUGUGCUUGAAUUGACUAUAUUUUACAAACAGUCUUUCCGCCUCUACGAAGUAAUGAUAAAUAUAUUUUAUUCUCUUCGAAACCUAUUUUGAUAAUUUCAUUUGAUAAUUUCAUCGGAUAUGUUAUUGACUCAAAUUCCAACAUUUAAACCGCCAUAUCCUUAAACUCGCAUCUAGAAUCAAGAACUUAGAAUAAGCCUGUCAAACGAGUCCGGCUAACCCGAUCCAGUUCGACCCACUUAUAAAAACCGACCCGAUUUGAUCCGAUCCGGUAAGCCCUAGGGCUUUAGGGUCCCGAGCCGGUUUUUUUAUUGAUUUGGGCCCGAUUAACUCGGUCUGGAUCAAGCCCGAUUAGGGCCCGCCGGUUAACCGGACUGGCCCGAUUAAUUAUUAUUUUUUUAAUGGAUUUAAUUAUAACUUAAUUCUAAUAUAUUAUUAAUUUACAAUCAAGUAUUAUUAAUUUAUAUAUUUGUAUAUAUAUCUUCUAUAGACGUAUACAUUUAGCGUAUACACGUGUAUAUGUUUUAUAAAUUAAUAUAUAACUAUAUAUAUAAUUAUAUAUUGUAGUAUAUAUAUAUUGUAGUAUAUUUUAUUUAAAGUAGUACAUAUAUAUUGAAUGAUACAUAUAUAUGUGUAUAUAUUUACUACAGAUGUAUAUAUUUAAUGUAUACAUGUGUAUAUGUUUUAUAAAUUAGUAUACAACUAUAUAUAUAGUGUGUGUGUAUAUUGCAGAGUAUAUAUAUUGUAGUAUAUUUUAUUUAAAGUAGUACAUAAAUUGAAUGAUACGUAUAUGUGGGUAUAUAUCAUCCAAACCGCCAUACCCCUAAACUCGCAUCUAGAAUCAAGAACUUAGAAUAAGCCUGUCAAACGGGUCCGGCUGGCCCAGCCCAGCUCGGCCUAAUUACAAAAACCGACCCGGUAAGCCCUAGGGCUUUAGGGUACCGAAUUCCGGAUCAGAUUUUUAUUGAUUUGGGCCCGAUUAACUCGGCCCGGACCAAGCUCGGUUAGGGCCCGUCGGUUAACCGGCCCGGCCAGGUUAAGUUUUUUCUUUUUCUUUAAAAAAAUGGAUUUAAUUAUAACAUAGUUUUAAUAUAUUAUUAAUUUACUAUCAAGCAUUGUUAAUUUAUAUAUGUGUAUAUAUAUAUUCUAUAGACAUUUAUAUUUAACGUAUACAUGUGUAUAUGUUUUAUAAAUUAAUAUAUAACUAUAUAUAUAAUUAUAUAUUGUAUUAUAUUUUUUUUAAAGUAGUAUAUAUAUAUUGAAUGGUACGUAUAUCUGUGUACAUAUCUUCUAUAGACGUAUAUAUUUAAAGUAUACAUGUGUAUAUGUUUUAUAAAUUAGUAUAUAACUAUAUAUAUAGUGUGUGUAUAUAUUGUAGAGUAUAUAUAUUGUAGUAUAAUUUAUUUAAAGUAGUACAUAUAUUGAACGAUACGUAUAUGUGUGUAUAUAUCUUCUAAAAUAGUAUAUAUUUAACGUAUAUGUGUGUAUAUGUUUUAUAAAUUAGUAUAUAACUAUAGAUAUUGUGUAUGUAUAUAUUGUAGGGUAUAUAUUGUAGUAUAUUUUAUUUUAAGUAGUACAUAUAUAUUGAAUGGUGCGUAUAAAUGUGUAUAUAUCUUCUAUAAACAUAUAUAUUUUACGUAUACAUGUGUAUAUAUUUUAUAAAUUAGUAUAUAACUAUAUAUAUGUAUAUUGUAGUAUAUAUAUAUAUAUUGUAGUAUAUUUUAUUACAGUAGUACAUAUAUAAUGAAUGGUGCGUAUAUAAGUGUAUACAUCUUCUAUAGACGUAUAUAUUUAACGUAUACAUAUGUAUAUGUUUUAUAAAUUAGUAUAUAACUAUAUAUAUGUAUAUUGUAGUAUAUAUAUAUAUAUUGUAGUAUAUACAUAUAUUGCAGUAUAUGUUUUACUUAAAGUAGUAAUAUAUAUUGAAUGAUGCUUAUAUUUGUAUAUAUAUCUUCUAUAGACCUGUAUAUUUAAUGUAAACAUGUGUAUAUAUUUUAUAAAUUAGUAUAUAACUAUAUAUAUGUAUAUUGUAGUAUAUAUAUAUAUAUUGUAGUAUAUACAUAUAUUGCAGUAUAUGUUUUACUUAAAGUAGUAAUAUAUAUUGAAUGAUGCUUAUAUUUGUAUAUAUAUCUUCUAUAGACCUGUAUAUUUAAUGUAAACAUGUGUAUAUAUUUUAUAAAUUAGUGUAUAACUAUAUAUAUAUAUUGUAGUAUAUACAUAUAUUGCAGUAUAUGUUUUACUUAAAGUAGUAAUAUAUAUUGAAUGAUGCUUAUAUUUGUAUAUAUAUCUUCUAUAGACCUGUAUAUUUAAUGUAAACAUGUGUAUAUAUUUUAUAAAUUAGUGUAUAACUAUAUAUAUAUAUUGUAGUAUAUACAUAUAUUGCAGUAUAUGUUUUACUUAAAGUAGUAAUAUAUAUUGAAUGAUGCUUAUAUUUGUAUAUAUAUCUUCUAUAGACCUGUAUAUUUAAUGUAAACAUGUGUAUAUAUUUUAUAAAUUAGUGUAUAACUAUAUAUAUAUAUUGUAGUAUAUACAUAUAUUGCAGUAUAUGUUUUACUUAAAGUAGUAAUAUAUAUUGAAUGAUGCUUAUAUUUGUAUAUAUAUCUUCUAUAGACCUGUAUAUUUAAUGUAAACAUGUGUAUAUAUUUUAUAAAUUAGUGUAUAACUAUAUAUAUAUAUUGUAGUAUAUACAUAUAUUGCAGUAUAUGUUUUACUUAAAGUAGUAAUAUAUAUUGAAUGAUGCUUAUAUUUGUAUAUAUAUCUUCUAUAGACCUGUAUAUUUAAUGUAAACAUGUGUAUAUAUUUUAUAAAUUAGUGUAUAACUAUAUAUAUAUAUUGUAGUAUAUACAUAUAUUGCAGUAUAUGUUUUACUUAAAGUAGUAAUAUAUAUUGAAUGAUGCUUAUAUUUGUAUAUAUAUCUUCUAUAGACCUGUAUAUUUAAUGUAAACAUGUGUAUAUAUUUUAUAAAUUAGUGUAUAACUAUAUAUAUAUAUUGUAGUAUAUACAUAUAUUGCAGUAUAUGUUUUACUUAAAGUAGUAAUAUAUAUUGAAUGAUGCUUAUAUUUGUAUAUAUAUCUUCUAUAGACCUGUAUAUUUAAUGUAAACAUGUGUAUAUAUUUUAUAAAUUAGUGUAUAACUAUAUAUAUAUAUUGUAGUAUAUACAUAUAUUGCAGUAUAUGUUUUACUUAAAGUAGUAAUAUAUAUUGAAUGAUGCUUAUAUUUGUAUAUAUAUCUUCUAUAGACCUGUAUAUUUAAUGUAAACAUGUGUAUAUAUUUUAUAAAUUAGUGUAUAACUAUAUAUAUAUAUUGUAGUAUAUACAUAUAUUGCAGUAUAUGUUUUACUUAAAGUAGUAAUAUAUAUUGAAUGAUGCUUAUAUUUGUAUAUAUAUCUUCUAUAGACCUGUAUAUUUAAUGUAAACAUGUGUAUAUAUUUUAUAAAUUAGUGUAUAACUAUAUAUAUAUAUUGUAGUAUAUAUAUAUAUUGUACUAUUGUAGUAUAUAUUUUAUUUAUAGUAGUACGUAUAGUCGUAUAUAUUGAAUAAUACGUAUAUAUGUGUAAUUGUGAAUAUAUUUAUUAAAAAAUAUAUAAUAUAAAUUGGAGUGUAUAUAGUGUAUAUAAUUGUAGUGUAUAUAGCGUACAUUGAUUUUUUUUUUUUUUAAAUGGGUUUGACCGAUUUUUUAAUCGAAUUUGACCGAAUUUAGGUAAGUUUAACCGGAUUGGAUAAAAUGGGCUGAGUCAGGGUUGUUUUUAAUUUUUUUACUAUUGGAUCCGGAUCCGGCCCACUUAAUCCAAAUCGGACCGGCCCGACCCACCAACCUAUUUAACUAUCACGGAUCGAUUCCGGGUUGACCCGAUCCGACCCACUUAACACCCUUAAGUUAGAAUAUGCAAUAAUUGAAUCAAAACAUAUAGGAAAAAAAAAAAAUGAAUGUUUGCCUCUUUGUCCUGUAAAUUAAGAGAACAUACUAAAUUAUCAAGCAAACGCUAAACAUUACCAAUAUUAUAGUAAUAUACACUUUUGAGUUUUCAUAUUGUUAAGAACACAUUAGUUAAGAUCCCAUUUGGAUUAUCCUUAUCCCUGCACCAAAGAAAAAACCAAAGAAAAGAAAAAUGAUAAAAAUAAAAUAAAACACCCUUUCCUACUGUUACUAAGAUCAAAUUUACAAAUUAUACUUUUUUUUUAAUAACAAUUCAUUCAUUGAUUCAACUCAUUUAAAUGGUUCAAAUUCAACCAAAACCACCAAUUCAUCCCACUUAAAUUCGAAUGUAAACUCAACAACUUAACAUAUACAGUAGUUGAAUUAAACCAUUAGAGAGAAAAAGAUAAAAUGAAUAUUUUUUGCUUCUUAAUUAGUAUUUAAACAAACAUUAAUACAUUAACAUUAUAAGUAAUUUACACUUUGAUUUUUUCACAUAAUAACAACAUAUAACGUAAGGUCCCUUUUGGGUUAUCCUUCACCCUUUACUUUCAUCAAACCUAAAAACCAUAAUAAAAAACAAUUACAAAAAAUAAAAUUAAAAUAUCCACCAUAUUUUUCACCAAAUAUUUUUGACCUUUUCUCCAAAUACGUAACUUAUACAUUCUAUUCUCCCCAUAUUCCAGUAUGGUAUUGUUGCUGUACAUUUAUCUGUUUACCGCACGUGUCGAAAUCCAGUGGCACCUCGUCGUAGGUGAUCCACCGGAGACCAUUGAUCUCUUACCGGCGGUAUUUGAAGAAGACGACGAUGAAUUCAUCGAUAACCCAUUAUCGGGUGACCCGAAUAACUGUAUCUCCGAAUUAUCAAACCGACCCGACCCGCUUGAAAGUCUCAUAUAUGCACCCAAUAAAGGUGAAUCAGAAUUCAUCAUCCAUCUUGGUGAAUUAGUAAUAAGUUGACCUCCUUGUGAAGUAGUAUUAUUUUUGUAAUCCAUUAUUGCUCUGUAAACAAAUGGAAUUAAUCCCUCCAUUUGAAUUUUCGAUGUUUAAUUUUUGCUAAUUUGGAUUUUGGAAGAUAAUUUUUUUGGAGGUGAAGAAAAUGAAGUGUUUGUGAUUUUGAAGGUGGAAAGAGGGGGUAUUUAAAAGAAGAGGAGGCUGACGUGGCGUAGUGGGUUAGAGUCCAGCUGUCAAUGCUUAGCCAAGCUGACAAUCAAGCGCGACUAAUAAUGUAUUAGCUUGGGAUAUGCAAAAAUCGAA
rnacentral:lncRNA from 1 species